CUUUAUUAUUAUUAUUAUUUUUGGAUAAUGUUUAAAUUGUUUGUACAGAUGCUUGUACAGGUGGGAUAUGGUGUGAUCACAAAUGGGAACUCAGUAAGCAUAGAACAUUUUACAGAAACCUGGGUCAUAGUCUUAACUUAUCUCCAGAGCUCCCCCUUUGUGUUGCAGCAAUCAGUUUUGCAUUCCCCUCACCUGCCAAACCAAUUAUGCACUGAAUAACCAACAGGUGCCGCAGAUUGCAUAUCAGAAAGAGCUUAUUUAUUCAGGGCAGCCUGCUUUAACAGCUUCCUAAGAAAAACAGCAUUUAUGUUUGCUUGUGUGUGUGGAGAACUGUUGGGGUUUUUUUUGUUCCUUACCAGUACCACAUGGUGCACCUGUAUAGUGUUGUAGUGACUGAGAAUGUAAGACAGGCUGUACAGGUCCACAGGAGUGUGUGCAGUGUUGGGAAGGGUACAGUUGUACCUAUAGGUGCUUGAAGUGCCAGUACCAGGUGUCCAUGUUUCAGCUGCAGAACCAUGGGAUGUAGGCAAGGUGCAGCAGAGGUGGGCUUUGCAACACCGACUCCAGUGUACACAUCACCACACAAAAGGUACUGUGCCAAAAAUACCUAUUAUAUAAACUCUCUUAACCAAUGCAGAUAAGGAAGGGUACUGUUGCAGAACCAUAGUUGAGUGAAUAAAUAAGUUUCUGAAGGAGGAAGAAUUUUAUGGAAGGAUUCCAUGGUAUCCAAAUGCGACUAUCAGCAUCCCGUUCCCCCUCCUCUCUUCUGUGGUGACCAGCUUCAGGCUUACAGGCAGCAGUGCUCGGCACGGUGCUCUCCAGGCCUUGGCAUUAGGAUGUUCCCAAAACCAGGCUGGGAUUGUCAAGCCUUAGAAGCUAGGGAAAUUCUUUUCCAGAAGGCUG
ensembl:lncRNA